AACGAACGCUGGCGGCAUGCCUAACACAUGCAAGUCGAACGAGCCUUUCGGGGUUAGUGGCGUACGGGUGAGUAACACGUGGGAACGUGCCUUUAGGUUCGGAAUAACUCAGCGAAACUUGUGCUAAUACCGAAUGUGCCCUUCGGGGGAAAGAUUUAUCGCCUUUGGAGCGGCCCGCGGCUGAUUAGCUAGUUGGUUGAGGUAAUGGCUCACCAAGGCGACGAUCAGUAGCUGGUCUGAGAGGAUGAUCAGCCACAUUGGGACUGAGACACGGCCCAAACUCCUACGGGAGGCAGCAGUGGGGAAUGUUGAGAAAUGGGCGAAAGCCUGAGGCAGCGAUGCGGCGUGAAUGAUGAAGGUCUUAGGAUUGUCAAAUUAUUUCACCGGGGAGGAUAAUGACGGUACCCGGAGAAGAAGCCCCGGCUAAUUCCGUG
rnacentral:rRNA from 1 species